GGUAUGCCGUGUUUGAUGACGUGUCACCAUUCAAACACUCGUCUUCAGACUACGAAGUGAACAAACCAAUUCUCAUCGGUGGAUUCUGGGAGACAGAUGGUGGCGGUAUGACCAUUACACAGAUGUUUGACUAUGUGUACAAACACGGCUAUGCUGGAGCCUGGAGUUUGGAUCUCCUGGGCGAGGGGGAUAGCCAGAGGGCAGCUAUAGCACAUAUCAAAGAUUACACUGACAAUGGCCAAAUACCUAUAGUCCUCCAAUGAAUUAGGGCUUAAUAAUGGCUGAAUGUUUUUCUGUCACAUAAAAGCGAUGUUAUUUAGAAGUAAUUGGCUUUACAAACAAACCUCCUCAUGCACUAUAAAUAAACUAACUCUUGUCUGUAUUUCUUACAAUAAAUGCAAUUUUAAAUGUG
rnacentral:sRNA from 1 species